UCAGUUCGGAUCGCAGUCUGCAACUCGACUGCGUGAAGCUGGAAUCGCUAGUAAUCGCGGAUCAGCAUGCCGCGGUGAAUACGUUCCCGGGCCUUGUACACACCGCCCGUCACACCACGAGAGUUUGUAACACCCGAAGUCGGUGAGGUAACCUUUUGGAGCCAGCCGCCGAAGGUGGGACAGAUGAUUGGGGUGAAGUCGUAACAAGGUAGCCGUAUCGGAAGGUGCGGCUGGAUCACCUCCUUUCUAAGGA
rnacentral:rRNA from 1 species